AGCGGCGGACGGGCGAGUAACGCGUGGGUAACCUGCCUCAUACAGGGGGAUAACAGUUAGAAAUGGCUGCUAAUACCGCAUAAGACCACAGUACUGCAUGGUACAGUGGUAAAAACUCCGGUGGUAUGAGAUGGACCCGCGUCUGAUUAGGUAGUUGGUGAGGUAACGGCCCACCAAGCCUUCGAUGGAUAGGGGUUCUGAGAGGAAGGUCCCCCACAUUGGAACUGAGACACGGUCCAA
rnacentral:rRNA from 1 species